GCAAGAUUAGUUUAAUGGUAAAACAGCAGACUUAUAAACUGUAUUAUCGCCAGAUUAGCGAAAAUUUUUGGUUCGAGUCCAAAAUCUUGCA
rnacentral:tRNA from 1 species